AGUGAACGCUGGCGGCGUGCUUAACACAUGCAAGUCGAACGAGAACGGAAUAUAGCUUGCUAUAUUUGUCAGCUAAGUGGCGCACGGGUGAGUAAUGUAUAGAUAACCUGCCCUUAAGAAAGGAAUAACAGUUGGAAACGACUGCUAAUGCCCUAUAUGCCUUUAAUACAUAAGUAUGCAAGGGAAACGCUUUAGUGCUUAAGGAUGGGUCUGUAUGGUAUCAGCUUGUUGGUGAGGUAAUGGCUCACCAAGGCUAUGACGCCUAACUGGUUUGAGAGGAUGAUCAGUAACACUGCAACUGAGACACGGUCCAGAUUCCUACGGGAGGCAGCAGUGGGGAAUAUUGCACAAUGGACGAAAGUCUGAUGCAGCAACGCCGCGUGGAGGAUGACACAUUUCGGUGCGUAAACUCCUUUUAUAUAGGAAGAUAAUGACGGUACUAUAUGAAUAAGCACCGGCUAACUCCGUGCCAGCCGCCGCCGUAA
rnacentral:rRNA from 1 species